GGUGGAGUGCCUGAAAAAAGGGCAAUUUUGAUAGAAUUGAGCAUGCAGGUAGUCCUGUCUCCACUU
rnacentral:tRNA from 1 species